UGGUCACGUUAUUAAGGGUGCAGGGCGGAUGCCUUGGCACUAGGAGCCGAUGAAGGACGUGAUACGCUGCGAUAAGCUUCGGGGAGUUGCACGUAAACUUUGAUCCGAAGAUUUCCGAAUGCGGAAACUCACUUAGAGUAAUGUCUCAGUAUCAUUAAGUGAAUACAUGACUUAAUGGGGGUAACUCAGGGAACUGAACCAUCUACGUACCUGACAGAAGAGAAUGAAA
rnacentral:rRNA from 1 species